rnacentral:rRNA from 1 species
CGAAGAACCUUACCAAAUCUUGACAUCCCUCUGAAAAGCCUUUAAUCGGGCUCCUCCUUCGGGACAGAGGUGACAGGUGGUGCAUGGUUGUCGUCAGCUCGUGUCGUGAGAUGUUGGGUUAAGUCCCGCAACGAGCGCAACCCCUAUUUGUCAGUAGCCAGCAGGUAAAGCUGGGCACUCUGAUGAGACUGCCAGGGAUAACCUGGAGGAAGGUGGGGAUGACGUCAAAUCAUCAUGCCCCUUAUGAUUUGGGCUACACACGUGCUACAAUGGCGUAAACAAAGAGAAGCAAAGCUGUGAGGCAGAGCAAAUCUCAAAAAUAACGUCUCAGUUCGGAUUGUAGUCUGCAACUCGACUACAUGAAGCUGGAAUCGCUAGUAAUCGCGGAUCAGAAUGCCGCGGUGAAUACGUUCCCGGGUCUUGUACACACCGCCCGUCACACCAUGGGAGUCGGAAAUGCCCGAAGCCAGUGACCCAAGCGAAAGCAGGGAGCUGUCGAAGGCAGGUCUGAUACUGGGGUAAGU